rnacentral:misc_RNA from 1 species
CCUAGAGUUGUAGGCCUUGCCUGCUAUCUCUUACCCAUGUCUUUUGAGUACUUACGUUUCCUCGGCGGGUCCGCCCGCCGAUUGGACAAUUUAAACCAUUUGCAGUUGCAAUCAGCGUCUGAAAAACUUUAAUAGUUA